rnacentral:piRNA from 1 species
UAGCCUAUUAGCAACCUAAAUUCCACCGGCA